GUAUGGCUUUCUCUCCCCGAAUGAUUCGAGACCCUGACGUAUGGCUCGUGACUUGAAUCAUUCUCAUUCCCCAACGCUAAAAAACAUUAAAACACUUCAUCAUCCGCUUUAUCUUUCUUUUUGAUUUUCUUAAAUCAAAUAAAAGAACUUAAGCAUAAUUAGAGUGAAAAAGGGCUAGUCUGACGUAUGGCUUUCUUCCCCGGAUAGUUCGAGACCCUGACGUAUGGCUCGUGACUCGAAUUAUCCUCAUUCUCGGACGUUUUCAUUAAAACUCCUAAAAUCAACUCAACACACUCAAACCUUUUUCACUGCCCACGCGCGCAGUAAAAGUAAAAC
rnacentral:lncRNA from 1 species